GAUGAACGCUGGCGGCGUGCCUAAUACAUGCAAGUCGAGCGAACAGACGAGGAGCUUGCUCCUCUGACGUUAGCGGCGGACGGGUGAGUAACACGUGGAUAACCUACCUAUAAGACUGGGAUAACUUCGGGAAACCGGAGCUAAUACCGGAUAAUAUAUUGAACCGCAUGGUUCAAUAGUGAAAGACGGUUUUGCUGUCACUUAUAGAUGGAUCCGCACCGCAUUAGCUAGUUGGUAAGGUAACGGCUUACCAAGGCGACGAUGCGUAGCCGACCUGAGAGGGUGAUCGGCCACACUGGAACUGAGACACGGUCCAGACUCCUACGGGAGGCAGCAGUAGGGAAUCUUCCGCAAUGGGCGAAAGCCUGACGGAGCAACGCCGCGUGAGUGAUGAAGGUCUUCGGAUCGUAAAACUCUGUAAUUAGGGAAGAACAAAUGUGUAAGUAACUAUGCACGUCUUGACGGUACCUAAUCAGAAAGCCACGGCUAACUACGUG
rnacentral:rRNA from 1 species